GGCUGUGUGGAGGGUGAGUUACCGCAGCUGAUGGCAGUUACCUCCAGAGGGCAAAUGGUAAUGCCACUCAGAGUGCCAGUGGCAGGUAGCCCUGGGUUGUCACCUUUCCUUGGAAAUUGCCUCAAGUGAAGGGAACCAACUUGUCCAAGGCUGUGACAUAUUCCCAGGUGAACUGUAGCCAAAGAUUGAUGGAAGUAGGUGUAUGAAAGCCUGACCUUUUGCUGCGGACUGAUAGCCUCCUCCCAAAUUUAUGUGUUGAAGCCUUAACUACCCCCAAUCAUAUGUCUAUAUUGAAGAUAGGGCCUUGAAGGAGAGUGUUAAGUUUAGGUGAGAUCAUAAGUACAAAUCCCCAGCCUGGUAAAACUGGUGUCCUUACAAAAAAAGGAAGAGAGACCAGAGUUCAGUCCUUCUCCCUCAAAUAAAGGCAAAGUGAGAAGGCAGACUUCUGUGAGCCAGAAAGAGACCUUGCCGAAACCAGAACCCUGCCAGAAUCUUGAUCUUGGUCUUCCCAGCCUCUAAAACCAAGGGAAAAUAAAAUUCCAUUGGAAAGCUACCUAGGCUUGAUAGUGUGUUACGGAAGCUUGAGCUGACUAAGACAGCGUUUUACUCUUAAUUUGCAGGAGUUCUGAAUCUGUACCCAGGGCAAUCCAGUUGGAAGUGGCAGGGGUAUAAGGAAACAGCUACUGGGAUGGAAUCUGGAGGUGGAGCAUUUGUUACUCAGCCCAAAAAGGAGAACUACAAGUGAAAACCCUUUCCAGUAUAUGGAGCAGCUGUAUGUGUAACAAGAUUGGGAUGAGAGGGAGAGAAGAAAGAAAAUUUUACAGGCAACACAACGAUGACCUGGAAGAAGGCUAUACCCCUGAACUUUCUGAAAAAUAUCACGUAACAUCUGACUACACAGAGAGGUGAGCUAACUAUAGCCAGACCGAGGUUCAUCACUUUGGAUACCUGUGAACACAAUCCUACUUUUAUCAGCUAAGGAUAUAUUUCUGUUACUAUACCCACGUUUUAGUUUCUGUUUGUUCUGUUUCUGCGAUGGCCUCCAAUCCAUAACAUCUUGCUUUCUUCUACAGGGAGGAACUAUUAUUAGGAAUUCCAUUUUACAGAUGAGAAAAUAGAAAUACAAAGAGGAGAUUAAGUAGCUUACUCAAGGUCACAUGAUAAGUUAAUGUUAGAGCUGGGAUAUAGGACAGCUGUGGUUUCACUUCAUAGGCUAAAAAGGAAUGAAAUUUUGUCUGGCCAGAGCAGAACACAAACUAUCAUUAAAAAAAAAAACUGACCAAGUCUUUUCAUCACUUCCCCUCAGAGGAAGAACUGUGUACAGCUAUCUGCUCUGUGGUACAAGCACGUAGAGGAUAUCUUUAUGGUGCAAACAAACAAACCAAAAA
rnacentral:lncRNA from 9 species